CUGGGCUCGAAAUGUAGUGGACCGGGGUGGAAACAUCCCUUCCCGCAAGGGUCGCUAUAUAGGUGCUGCAUGGCUGUCGUCAGCUCGUGUCGUGAGAUGUUGGGUUAAGUCCCGCAACGAGCGCAACCCUUAUUGUCAGUUGCCAUCAUUUAGUUGGGCACUCUGGCGAAACCGCCUCGGAUAACGGGGAGGAAGGUGGGGAUGACGUCAAGUCCUCAUGGCCUUUAUGUCCAGGGCUACACACGUGCUACAAUGGUCGGUACAAACCGUCGCAAACCCGCGAGGGGGAGCUAAUCGGAAAAAGCCGACCUCAGUUCGGAUUGGAGUCUGCAACUCGACUCCAUGAAGCUGGAAUCGCUAGUAAUCGCGGAUCAGAACGCCGCGGUGAAUACGUUCCC
rnacentral:rRNA from 1 species